ensembl:lncRNA
CUAAGGGGCUCUCCGCUUUCAGACUUGCGGCCCAGUUUUGCAAGACUGCAACUUAGGAAAUUAAAUCUUAUCAGUCUUGAAGCACUUUUUCUCUGGAAGUAAGGGCCCGAGCGCACGGAGAUCCCUCGGAUGGGUUUUGGUCGCAGGACGAGUGGUGGGCUUAAAAUUAAAGUUACAAAGAAGCCAGUGCUUCUGAUGGCUUCUGGCCCUGCCAGCUGCUGGCAGAUGCUAAAUAAGGAGGGCCCAGGUGCUGCUAGAAGCAAGUGAUGGGGAAGAUAACAAGGGGGGUUACCAGCCAUUCCCUCCCAUGCAGAAAAGGCACUCUACAUGUUUGUACUUCUGACCCCAAGAUCAAGUUCCAGAUAACCACAUAUGUAAAGCCCUGUUAUCUUUCAGAGAAGACACAAGAAGCCUAAAACUGAACUCUUUUUUUUUUUUUUUUUCUUCCCAUGAGGAAAUCCUGUAGCAGCACUGCUCCGGCACCGUCACUGCAGCUCUGCUACACCUCUGCUGCAAUGGGUGCUGCAGGAGUGCACGGCAGCGCUCAGAAAUGAGAGGGCUGAACCUCGGGAGCUGUCACCUCCACCAAUCUAACAACAGUUUCCCCAGCUGAGGGCUGGUGGGGAGUGUUUGCUCAUCUGCCUUAGCCCUGGAAAACGAGGAGGUUAAAAAUUAAUCUUUGCAGCUGGCAACUGCUGCAGUGAGCUGACACGGCGGGGCAGAGUUUUUUCCAAUAUCGGGAAUGUUAUGCAGCUUUGGAGUGGCCAAACAGCAGGGCUCACGUGUGGUAGCUUGACCCAGACUGAAGGCACUGCGUGACCUGUGUAGAGCUAAGUGUGCCUUUUUGCACUGACCUGCAGUGCACCUUUUGCACUGACCUGUUUAAUUUUGGUGAUACGAAGAUGUUGGCAUCCUGAUUCCUCACUGUGACAGCGCGCUUCCAUCUGGAAAAGGGAAAACUGUGCUAUGAUGUGUAGAUUUCCUUUGAAUCUGCAGGAUUAGAGUGUUCCUUGUGCUUUCCUUUGGCUCAUCAGCUGCAAAAGGACACGGCCACGUGCUGCUGGAAUCGGCUUGAAGCUGAACCUUGAAUUUCAGGUAGAUUAAAAAAAGACAAUCGCUGCUGGAGGAGACUGCAGGAGAUGGAAUCUAAACCUGCUGGAGCCAAACUGACACCAAAAACAGCCAGCCUGCCACCGCUGGAAUAACACGAGCUGCACUACAGCAGCAAAUGCUCCAAGGGGAGAGGAAAGAGCUGCGGCUGAAAUCUCUGUGCAAACCACAGGGAAACAAUUCCGUGUCUCCGGUUCUCUCUGCCUCAUUCCGAUGCUGUGUGAAUAAAUAAGCUCCACGACUGCUGAAGACCUCGUGCAAAUGUGCUCGCACUCUGCUCUCCUGGGGCACAGGCAGUGGCUUUUUUGCACUGUGUGAGCAAAGCCAUUUGUGAGAGCCGAAAAAAAACAAAGCAGAUAUCGUCGCCCAUCACCUCGUGUCCAUUAGAUUAAGUCAACAUCAUUAGAUAAAUUCCUUCUGCAAGAUGCUUCUGCAGAGGGAUUCAAGUGCAUACCUGUCCUGCUUGAAGUACUAAUGCUGCUCCGGCACUAGAAGUAAGUGCCUUUUGAAGGCAGUUCAGAGCCCCCGUGCAGCUGCCUGCUUUAUAGCUCGUAGCUGCAUGUCACCUUUGAAGGCUGGGGAUGGCAGUGGCAGAGCAGUGCCUCCCAGCCGGGGGAAGCAGGCAGUCGGCACAAUCCGUCCCUCGCAAUUAAGGGAGGAAAGCAGAAGCUGGGGAAAAUUCAAGCAGUGUGUUUUAGUAGAGGACCGCUCCCUUACCUCGGUGAAUUACCAGUGCCGCUCACAGGGACGUGCGGGGCCGAUGCAAAGCACAGACAGUAAUAAAGCACACGGGAAACUGGCAUGAAUUAACCUGCAGAAGAGUGAGUUUAUUGCUCUUCAUCAUUUACACGCAUCCUCCUAAAGAAAACAUGAUGAAAACCUGUGUGUAAAUUACCAAGCCAAACGCCGUUCUUCUGUGCUGGGCUCAGAGGGCAAACCUCCCAGUGCAGAAAUACCAUCUUGUGAUAAAAUGACUAAUACAUGACUAAAGCCAUUUUCCAUUGUGCAGGCGGAGCUCUGGGGAUCAAUUGUUUUCCACGGUGGAUCCCUCAGACAGUGAAUUCCUCUGGUGGUUGGUAUGAUAUUCAUGGCCAGGGCUGUCAGUCACCUCCAGGGAACUGAAAUGGGAUGCCACUCCGGUUGCUGUUAUUAAUCUCGACUGCAGGUGUGGAAAUUAAUUUCAUGGGUAUUUUUAUCAUUUCCUUUUUUGUUAAGGAUUAGCAUUUCCCCAUGACCCGGACUCCGGAUGGAGGCCAAUGCAAAGUGGUUUGCCCAGCCCCGCCACAAUGGUGAGCUAAUGCUGGGGAGCAGGAGGGGAAGGGGGCGUGAAACUUUCCAUUCCCGCUUGGUGUGGACAAUGAAUGCCACUGGACGACGUCAGAUGUCAUCACAACAUGCACUUCUCUGCACCAAGACUCCGUAAAGCAAUCCUGGGAAAUGCAGGUUGUUCUCAGUUCUGUGCGAGAAUAACACAUUUGCCAAUAGUGGGAGAAAAAAAAGGCGAAGUUAAAUGUAUGAAACCAAAUCAGAUGUAGCUGCUUAGAAAGCUACAGCUCCUAUUUGCUGGCACCCGGGCUGCUUUCACAUGGAUUUUCUGACAGAUGCUGCUACAUCUCCAUAGUCAAGAAGACAGCUCCAGCCACUGGGCUUCCAACAUGGAGACUAGAGCUGGGAGCCAGGAACAGGAAUGGGAAUGGGAUGGGGAAGAGCUCACCUGGUGGAGAGGGCUGGGGAUGGGAGCAGCUGGAGCCAUGGCAGGGAGAGGAACACACUGUCCCCAGCUCUGCCCAGAAUUAAGCCCUGGCUGCUGGCAGCGAUGCUGGCUCCAGAACUGUCUCAUUUUCAUUGACACCUCCUCCUGCCAAAACCCAGUGAGUAAUUCUCAGGAGAUAAGCAGGUUAGGCCAGAUUCAGCACGAUAAUUGAAGGUUGGAGGUAACGUGAGAUCCUUAUGUGCUCCCGUUGGCACAGCCCCCCUCUGCCAUAAGGCCACGCAAGCCAAGAGCCUUGUGCUGCCGAAGACCCCAUCACUUACCCCACACAUUUCUAUGCUUUACUCACACGAGAUAAGCCCAGUGCAUGGCACUCAGCCCACCACGCCAACUAACGACAAGUCUGUGCCAUCUCGGGCUUUAAGACAUUAAAUCACAGCUUUGUUUAAAAGUCACUGAAGUCGAUCACUCUUAAUAAUGGCCGUCUCACCCUUCGCAGUCACACAUCAAAACACCACCUCCGUAUCGUGCCCCCCUCGCCACUCACUGGUAGUCAGCUUUGAGGAAGAGAGAGCACAUAAAAUUCACAUAUUAUUUCAUGCUGCCACUGCUCCUUGCUGCCGAAACAACUCAGUGCAGAGCAGAAGGGAGAGAAGCAGCAAGGAUUUUCCAGAGCUAAAAUAGAUACCAACGCCUCGUGCGUAUCACAGGGCUUUGCUGGGACAGCUCAGUGGUGUGAUAUUGAUGUGACUGUUUUCUUCUCCUCCUUUAACUGUAGCUUUCUGCAGAGAUCAACCUGGGCACCAGAUUUUACCAGAUUACCUCUAUUUACUCACAUCAGCUAAUUUGAGAGCGAACACGUUAUAUAACCCAACAUCAUCAUCCCAGUUAUAAAUGACGAAUUCCACCAUAAAGCCCGAUAAAAAUCUUUAUUGCAAUUUCACUUUUUAUAUCUUUUAGACAAAUAGGUUUUUGGCAUCAGGGACGUCUGUAUUGAUUUUCACAUCCAGGCUGAACCAUUCAUGGAGACGAGUAAAGUGGGACAUGCAUCAUAGGGUGAGUGCAGCACAAACCUGGUGGCACCAACCUCCAGCCCGAGAGAGAAGUUCCUUCUGGAUCACACGGGCUUAUUUGGGAUAUUCUGAGUGUUUCAGAAACACGAUAAGCAAGCAGUGGAAAUGAUGGAUUCGGCAACACCGAUGCAAAACUGCAAAGAGAACAGAGAGGGAAAGCAAGUUACAUUAGCAGAGAGAAUUCUACAUAAAAUACAGCGGAGCGGCUGGGGAACAGGCAGCCAAGAUGUUCAGCUGCAAGUGGAGUCCAAUUUGAUGCUCAGCAUGAGUUUAAAAGGAAGAUUUUCUCAGCUUUAAAAUAAAAGAGCAGUGUCAGACGUGGAUGGGGCAGCAAGCUGCAGUCACGGGAAUGGGUUGCCCAGGCUCAGGAAAAGUGAGAGCACUGAAAGCAGCUCGUUUUGCUGCCGUACACUUAGGGAUGUGCUCAUUGCAUCCAGGCAAAACACACGUGUAUGUCAGCACCUGGUUUGUGGAGAUCCACCACGAGUCAGUGGGAAUGUUGCCUUUGGGGGAGCAGACCUCAUUCCCUGCUGGCCGAUGGCCCUCAGUUUUUGCAGCCGUGGCCCUUUGACACACACAGAUUGCUGCCAGCCAGGACCCGAUCCUGCUGCCACUGAAAUCAAUGGAAGUUUUGUUGUUGGCUUCCAUGGGAUGAAGGAUUCAAUCCGGCAGUCGAUAGGGUUCGAGUGUCCUUUGUCUAAGUGGGGUCGUGUUAAUUCUGGAGGAUGGGCCUACAUCAUAUCCAUUAUUGGGAUUUGCAGCUGAGCAUAAAAACAGGAUUAGGGGGAAGAGAGAAACAAUCCCAACAGUGAGCGGGGAGCCCCGAGCGAGCCCCGGCCAUCAGCGAGCGUGGGGCAAAGAGAGGGGAAACCCACCGAGGAGGUUCCCCCCCUUUCUGCUCCUUCUGCAGCAAACUUUGAGUCGCCGGCUCGUUAUUAACAAUUAGCAAAGCGUCGGCAGAAGCAAUUAUUGUCACACUCACACAGAUAUUAAUCGAUGGCGUUUGUUUGCCGCUGCUUCUGUUCCCUCUGCUCCGACACCGCAGCACCACCAGCAAAUCGGGAUGCGUGGUACAUAUGCUGGUGCUCCACUUAAUAAAAAAGACACCUAUAUUUUCAGAUAAACUUUGUUAGUAAUUCAUGAGGUAAGUGACUAUUUAUGCUAAUCGGGGAGAAAUAUAUUCUCGAGCGGAGCGCGUUCCAUAAAUUUGAAUGCAAAACGUUCAAUUAUGAAGUAAACACAGGUAAUGCAAAUAGUAAAUUACCUCCAAUAAAAAUAUAUAAAGAACGUGUCUUCAAAGGGAGCGCGGCUCCUAUUUGCGUCUGCGAGUUGCUUAAAGAGCAAAGGAUUCAUAAACGCCGAAUCGCUGCCGCGAUGAUUGAGCUCCCAUUGCCCGACCCGCGCUGACUGCCCGCAAUCACAGCGCUGUUCCGUACCCCCGAUAGAAGGCAGGACUGUUUCCUCAGCAAUUUUAUCCCCGCCAGAUUAUCUCGUCUGAUUCUAUUAAUUCUCUCCCAUAAAUCUGCUAACAGCGAUCUGUGAUUUACUCACCCUGUUAACUGAUCUGAGGACUGUUAAAAGGAUUUAUCUGGCGCUGCACCUAGGAGCGGGUUGUGCCUUAUCACUGUGCUCCGAAGAAGCCUUUUGGAAAGCAAUUUGCCCGCUUCCAUAGUCAAAUUCAGCGGGCACUCUUUAGUUCUGCACCAUAAAAAUCAGACACCGGGCAAACAAAGGGAGCGGUAACUGUUCUUAAUGUGUUGUUCUUGAUCCGCACCCAGGGCAGAACGCGUCGUGGUCUGAGCUCCUAACCUGGAGCAGGGCAGGAGGUGUGGGGAUGUGAGCAGGAGGUGUGGGGAUGUGGGCUGUGCGCUGCCUGGGUCCGUGCUGGGAAAGGGAGCGGGGCUGGGACGUGGCCUGGUGGCAAAACCCGAGCCUGAAUGGCUCUAAUUGAAAUGAAAGCGUGCGAUUGUUUGGGGAGAAACGCUGUUAAUAGGGGACUGUAAAUGUUUAGACAGCCGUCGUGAAUAGCCAAAUAAUAAAGGAAAAUAGCACUACAGUGAGAAUGGCGGAGGGGAGGGAGGAGAGCGUUGCUGCUCCUGAAGGUGAUCCAAAAAAUUGCUAAUAAUCCUUUCUCUCUGCUACGCCGUGCCGUUUUGGGGCGGCAGCUCUGCAAUCAUCACACCAGAACAAUGCUGUACAGUAACUCCAGUGCUGCCCUGGAGGUCAGAGCUCCGCAUGCACUCACCCACAUCAGUGCUAAGGAAGAGGCUCCCCCUUAGCUCACCCAAAUUUGUGCUCUUCGUCUCAAGUUUACUCAGAAAUCUACUGGUUUGCAAGAGGAGCACUCUGAAUCCAAACAGUUUGAUGGGGCCGGAGCUGUGUUUCCACAGACAUCCAUCAAACGUGCAAGUGGAACACUGCGAGUGUGCGUUCCAAAAAGCAAUAACCUUCACUUUUUGUGCCUCUCAUAGGCGAGCGCGUUAAGUGACAUACAGUGCCACAUUCAUCUUGCAAUGGGAAAAACAAGUCUGGGGAAUGGGGCCGUCCUGGAGGGCGGGGGGGGGGUUAUGCUGUGAGCUGGGAACUUUUGCUGGUUCCGAUGGUGUGCAGGAAUAGGAAAGCCAAGCCGAGUUGCACUCGGUUUGUCACUAAUUGCAGUCUCUAAGAUAAACCCGGCAGAUGUCCGGGUGUCUUUGGGGCUGCGCAGAACCACGCUCAUGUUGUUCGUGCCGUCGGAGCAUGCUUUAGGUCUGCAGAAUCGCCUCUGCGAUCCCAUCUAGGUGUCGUUAGCCUGCUCGCCUCGCAGCGUGCCCUCCCUGCCUUUUGGCUGCCGGGAGCAGCGCAGCCGCACGGGUUUGUGCCGAUAAUGGCACGGUCGGGAGAUGUUAUCUAUUCGUGAGCCCACUCUCCCCGUACUAUUUCCUAAGCAGAGAAUUCUUCGGCUGUUGCAAACGAUGCUUUUCACAGUUGGUGAAAAAUUACCCAGCAACUCACCCGCACCUACGAAGUCUUAUAAAUAGCAAACUGCGAGGGGAAGGGGGAAAAGGAGCAUCUGAAGUACAACGUUCAAGACGCCGGUUUAAUAUAUGACCAAGUGUCAGAAGUCAGGUUUCUGAGAAUUACUUUCCAGAUAAACAACUUCACGGCACCGCACUUCAUCUUACUUACUAGAGACACCCCAUUUAUCACGGAAUUACAAGGAACUUUAAUUCUAUCGAUAUUCCCAUAAAAUCCAGCCUGGCAGCUCGGGAGGGGCACUGCGGGAGCACCGGGACCGCCGCAGCUCAACCCCCCCUCCCACCCCCCCCUCCUCCCCGACGGCCCGGCCCG